rnacentral:lncRNA from 1 species
UAAAGUGUACUGUUAGCUCGCCUGCUAAUGUUAUGUGCAUGAUCUGUGUUGUAAUAUUAUCUCAAAAAGAAAUGUCCAUUGCUAGUUAUAGCCUAAUGUUAGCUAGCUAAUUAAUAUUAAACGUAGCUGGUUAGCUUUAGCUAGCUUUGACAAUCGGUUUGUAUUGCUAGUACUCUAUGGGUUAAAGUGGUUAAUGUCCACACACAAUGUGUUAUGGUUGUGACUGGGGUUAGGGGUUACGGUUGUGACCAGGGUUAGGGGUUAUGGUUGUGACUGGGGUUAGGGGUUACGGUUGUGACCAGGGUUAGGGGUUAUGGUUGUGACCGGGGUUAGGGGUUACGGUUGUGACCGGGGUUAGGGGUUACGGUUGUGACCAGGGUUAGGGGUUACGGUUGUGACCAGGGUUAGGGGUUAUGGUUGUGACCAGGGUUAGGGGUUAUGGUUGUGACCAGGGUUAGGGGUUACGGUUGUGACCAGGGUUAGGGGUUACGGUUGUGACCAGGGUUAGGGGUUAUGGUUGUGACCAGGGUUAGGUGAUAUGGUUGUGACUGGGGUUAGGGGUUAUGGUUGUGACUGGGGUUAGGGGUUAUGGUUGUGACCAGGGUUAGGGGUUAUGGUUGUGACCAGGGUUAGAGUCAGGGGCAGGGUUAGGUGAUAUGGUUGUGACUGGGGUUAGGGGUUACGGUUGUGACCAGGGUUAGGGGUUAUGGUUGUGACCAGGGUUAGGGGUUAUGGUUGUGACCAGGGUUAGGUGUUAUGGUUGUGACCAGGGUUAGAGUCAGGGGCCAGGGUUAGGUGUUAUGGUUGUGACCAGGGUUAGGUGUUAUGCUUGUGACCAGGGUUAGAGACAGGGGCAGGGUUAGGUGUUAUGGUUGUGACCAGGGUUAGAGUCAGGGGCAGGGUUAGGUGUUAUGGUUGUGACCAGGGUUAGGUGUUAUGCUUGUGACCAGGGUUAGAGACAGGGGCAGGGUUAGGUGUUAUGGUUGUGACCAGGGUUAGAGUCAGGGGCAGGGUUAGGUGUUAUGGUUGUGACCAGGGUUUGGGGUUAUGGUUGUGACCAGGGUUAGGGGUUAUGGUUGUGACCAGGGUUAGGUGUUAUGGUUGUGACCAGGGUUAGAGUCAGGGGCAGGGUUAGGUGUUAUGCUUGUGACCAGGGUUAGAGACAGGGGCAGGGUUAGGUGUUAUGGUUGUGACCAGGGUUAGAGUCAGGGGCAGGGUUAGGUGUUAUGGUUGUGACCAGGGUUAGGUGUUAUGCUUGUGACCAGGGUUAGAGACAGGGGCAGGGUUAGGUGUUAUGGUUGUGACCAGGGUUAGAGUCAGGGGCAGGGUGUUAGAUACUGUCGUGAGUGAAAAGCCCAGGAAGACUGUUGUUUCUGAGAUCCUGGAUCUGGCGUGCCUGGCAUGUAUGUAUGUAUGUAUGUACGUAUGUACGUAUGUAUGUAUGUAUGUAUGUAUGUAUGCAUGUAUGUAUGUAUGUAUGUGCAACAUGUAAAGUGUUCGUCUCGUGUUUCGUGAGCUGAAAUAAAUAAAAAAUCC